UCGAGCGAGAACCAGUCCUUCGGGACUGGGGAAAGCGGCGAACGGGUGAGUAACACGUGGGUAAUCUGCCCUCGGCACUGGGAUAGCCCGGGGAAACCCGGAUUAAUACCGGAUAGCCUUUCGAGUCUUCGGACUCGUCAGAAAAGGUGGCUUCGGCUACUGGCUGAGGAGGAGCCCGCGGCGGAUUAGCUUGUUGGCGGGGUAACGGCCCACCAAGGCGACGAUCCGUAGCUGGUCUGAGAGGACGAUCAGCCACACUGGGACUGAGACACGGCCCAGACUCCUACGGGAGGCAGCAGUGGGGAAUCUUGCGCAAUGGGCGAAAGCCUGACGCAGCGACGCCGCGUGCGGGAAGAAGGCCUUCGGGUUGUAAACCGCUUUCAGGAGGGACGAAGCCACUCGGGUUAAUACCCCAGAGGGUGACGGUACCUCCAGAAGAAGCCCCGGCUAACUACGUGCCAGCAGCCGCGGUAAUACGUAGGGGGCAAGCGUUG
rnacentral:rRNA from 1 species